rnacentral:misc_RNA from 1 species
GAUGAAGAACGUAGCGAAAUGCGAUAAGUAAUGUGAAUUGCAGAAUUCAGUGAAUCAUCGAAUCUUUGAACGCACAUUGCGCCCGCCAGUAUUCUGGCGGGCAUGCCUGUUCGAGCGUCAUUUCAACCAUCAAGCCCUGCUUGCGUCGGGGUCCUGCGGCUGCCCGCAGGCCCUGAAAACCAGUGGCGGGCUCGCUAGUCACACCGAGCGCAGUAAUACAUCUCGCUUUGGGCGUGCGGCGGGUUCUUGCCGUUAAACACCCCCUUUUUACCAAGGUUGACCUCGGAUCAGGUAGGAAUACCCGCUGAACUUAAGCAUAUCAAUAAGCGGAGGA